GUAAUGUGGCAGUUUGAACCAAUGUAGCUUGGGAAGGGGGAAACCAAAACCGGCCCCCUAUAGCUGGUCUAGUUCUGGUUCAGACCCUUGAACCAUUGACCCAGGCAUCAUUUAUGUAUCUCCAUUAAAGUGGUUAUUCUUUCGUAUGAAAUGAACUCGCAAGUUCUCUGAAUGGCUUGUGAUCUGUAUGGUAUCAAUUUCUUAAACUCUCAUGGUUAUUCUAUCAUCCUUCCUUUACAUGAUUUAGAAGUUUGUUCCUUGCCACAGCACCAACCAAUAAUGCUGUUACUCAGGUAGCUAUCCUGCUUGCGAACAAGUUCUUUGCUGUCUUGUUUUGUUAAGGAAGUUUAAGACUAAUUGUGGCUAGAUGGACUUCUUUACAUUCUUAGACUGCCUUGGAGGU
rnacentral:misc_RNA from 1 species